UAGGUUAAAAUUAUAGAAUUAAUGAAUAAACGGUGGAAACUUGUUAAAAAGAUGUAGAAACUGUCCUUAGACCUUAGAUAAUGAUUAAGAUGAAUUAAGGAAUCGAAAUUAGGUUUAAAACCUUGAGAAAGGAUUGAAUUGGAGAAAACGAAAACUAGGUCAAAUCCCUAAAAUUGAUGAUUAAACGGUAAGAAUUGAUUAAAUUGGUGUAGAAAGUGUUCCUGGACCUUAGAUAAUGUUUAGGACAAACUUUGGAAUCGAUACUAGGCUUAGAACCAUGUGAAUCGUC
rnacentral:lncRNA from 1 species